rnacentral:siRNA from 1 species
GAUCUAUUCUAUGCUAAUCGAUC